rnacentral:rRNA from 1 species
GAUCCUGGCUCAGGACGAACGCUGGCGGCGUGCUUAACACGUGCAAGUCGAACGAAGAGCGAUGGAAGCUUGCUUCUAUCAAUCUUAGUGGCGAACGGGUGAGUAACGCGUAAUCAACCUGCCCUUCAGAGGGGGACAACAGUUGGAAACGACUGCUAAUACCGCAUACGAUCCAAUCUCGGCAUCGAGACUGGAUGAAAGGUGGCCUCUAUUUAUAAGCUAUCACUGAAGGAGGGGA